UGAGCCUAAGUGGUAGAAAUAUAACAUUGGGUGAAUUGGUGGUUUAAGCCCGAUUAACUUAAGGGUAGAUAGUAAGAAAAAUAGGGUUUAGAAGAUAUAACUUGUUUUUGGGAAAAGAGGAAGAAAAGAGAAGAGUAGAGAAAGAAGAGAAGAGGAUUUUGUAGAAACUUGAAGAGGAAGGAGUUUAACUUGAGGUUGUGACGAGUAGUGAGCUACCCGGGGAUUUAGCCAAGGAGCUUUUGGUUUACCGUUUUUAUUAGGUAGAGAGUCAAACGCUCUGAUAAUGUAACACUUGGAGGGUUAUUUGAACUCAUGUUUUAUGACUUGGAUUUUAUUAUUUUAUUUGUAUGUCUGGAUAUUUUGGAUACAAGUAUAUUGAUCGAAAUGUUUCCAAGGAUUAUUUCA